rnacentral:lncRNA from 1 species
CCCAGAACAGAGUUUUCAGAAGCAAGGAAGAAAAAAGGACAAGUGGGAACACUCCUACUUUUUAAAGCCCAAGAGCAUGAGCAGGAGAGAAGUUCAACACAUGAUAUGAUGGACAUGAAACCACUCUCUUAAUUUCAACAGAAGCAACCCAGAAACAAGUGGAAAAAC